rnacentral:lncRNA from 1 species
UUUUUGGUGGUUGAUCCCCAGCUCUCCUUCUCUGCCUCAGAUAAAUCCCCAGUAGAUUGGUGGUGGUGGAUUGUACCUGUGAUGGUCUUCUCCCCUGCAGAUAUUUGGUUGAUUUCCUGAUGCUUUUGAUCCCUAGUAGAGUGGCUUGUGUGCAGAAUCUACUUGUGAGAUCUAUUUUCCCUCAGUGGGUUCAUCCCCAUUGGAGUGGCUGACAGUAUCCCCAGUAGAGUUGCU